rnacentral:rRNA from 1 species
GUAGUUGAACCUUGGGCCUGGCUGGCCGGUCCGCCUCACCGCGUGUACUGGUCCGGCCGGGCCUUUCCCUCUGUGGAACCCCAUGCCCUUCACUGGGUGUGGCGGGGAAACAGGACUUUUACUUUGAAAAAAUUAGAGUGCUCCAGGCAGGCCUAUGCUUCGAAUACAUUAGCAUGGAAUAAUGAAAUAGGACGCGUGGUUCUAUUUUGUUGGUUUCUAGGACCGCCGUAAUGAUUAAUAGGGACAGUCGGGGGCAUCAGUAUUCAAUUGUCAGAGGUGAAAUUCUUGGAUUUAUUGAAGACUAACUACUGCGAAAGCAUUUGCCAAGAUGUUUUCAUUAAUCAGGAACGAAAGUUAGGGGAUCGAAGACGAUCAGAUACC